GAUGUUAGUCAUAUAUUUAGUGAAUAUGGCUGAUAUCAAUCAUUACCUCAAAGAUGUUAACAUUGACUGCAUUUACACUUGUCCCCCUAGUAACUCUGCCCCACAAUGUCAGAUCCUCACAGGGUAAAAUGGCUUAUUAUUCAGAAGUGUCCUUCUGAAUAGUUAGAGGGGACUUAUUGUAUUUUCAUGUUGUCAAAAUUGUCGACUAUCCUAUUUGGGUGCUUGUACAUUUUACCCCUUAAAUAUGACAUUAGGCCUACAGUUUUCACAUCUCUGGCCUAGAAAGUCACUUUCCUAUGAGGUAAAGUUCUCCUGGUUCAGUAGCGUCUCUUCCAGUUUCCUCAGAGGGAUGAUGGGGAAUAUGCUUUGACUUAAAGCAUUAUGCAAAAUGUAAAUAUAAACAUGUUUAUUCCACAGUCUAAUUAUGUAUGACAUGUUUGAAUGUAGAUUGUGUUUUUAUUCUAGUUUCUGUGGCUUGAAGCCUGACUACAUCACAGGGAGAACAUUUUCGUUUUUGCUUCCUUAGAGGGAGGUCAGUGACACCAUAGAGAGAAGAGAGAAGGAGAUAGAUGCCCGUUGACCAUGGCUUCCCAUCCAGGGGGGAAAUAAAAAUGAAUCCCUGCCCAGAGGCUUCCAAACUCAACCCAGAGGGAAGUCAGAGACGCCAGAGAGAGAAGGAAGAAGAUGGGAGAGGAAUGCCCAUGGACCAUGGCUUCCCAUCCAGAGGAAAUAGAACUGAAACACUGGCCAGUGGCUUCCCAACUCAACCCAGGUAAAGUUCAUGUCACUGUCAGCUGUCACUAUAUCAAUUUGGUCUUCAUCUCUAACAACCUAACAAAUACCAACAUAUAACAAAUUGAGCUUCAUUACUAAGUAUUUUGUCAGGCCAAUGCAGUUCUGUGUGCUGCAAUUAUCAAUAAACAUGAGCUACAUGCUGAUGCUAUAUGUUGGCCAAAGAAAGUCUCUGAAGCCACCAUCCACCAUAUUGCUACUCCUCAGCAGUCGCAGUCCUCCAUAGGAAUGAAUGGAAUACUACAUGCUGAUGCUAUAUGUUGGCCAAAGAAAGUCUCUGAAGCCACCAUCCACCAUAUUGGCUCUCCCCAGUAGGAACAGUCCUCCAUAGGAAUGAAUGGAAUACUACAUGCUGAUGCUAUAUGUUGGCCAAAGAAAGUCUCUGAAGCCACCGGUCGGCCAUAUUGGCUCUCCCCAGUAGGAACAGUCCUCCAUAGGAAUGAAUGGAAUACUACAUGCUGAUGCUAUAUGUUGGCCAAAGAAAGUCUCUGAAGCCACCAUCCACCAUAUUGGCUCUCCCCAGUAGGAACAGUCCUCCAUAGGAAUGAAUGGAAUACUACAUGCUGAUGCUAUAUGUUGGCCAAAGAAAGUCUCUGAAGCCACCGGUCGGCCAUAUUGGCUCUCCCCAGUAGGAAACAGUCCUCCAUAGGAAUGAAUGGAAUACUACAUGCUGAUGCUAUAUGUUGGCCAAAGAAAGUCUCUGAAGCCACCGGUCGGCCAUAUUGGCUCUCCCCAGUAGGAACAGUCCUCCAUAGGAAUGAAUGGAAUACUACAUGCUGAUGCUAUAUGUUGGCCAAAGAAAGUCUCUGAAGCCACCAUCCACCAUAUUGGCUCUCCCCAGUAGGAACAGUCCUCCAUAGGAAUGAAUGGAAUACUACAUGCUGAUGCUAUAUGUUGGCCAAAGAAAGUCUCUGAAGCCACCGGUCGGCCAUAUUGGCUCUCCCCAGUAGGAACAGUCCUCCAUAGGAAUGAAUGGAAUACUACAUGCUGAUGCUAUAUGUUGGCCAAAGAAAGUCUCUGAAGCCACCGGUCGGCCAUAUUGGCUCUCCCCAGUAGGAACAGUCCUCCAUAGGAAUGAAUGGAAUACUACAUGCUGAUGCUAUAUGUUGGCCAAAGAAAGUCUCUGAAGUCACCAUGCUUUGAAGCCACCGGUCGGCCAUAUUGGCUCUCCCCAGUAGGAACAGUCCUCCAUAGGAAUGAAUGGAAUACUACAGUAUUUCAAUGUAAUGUUUCAAGGACAAAAUUACAUGUAUUAAGUAUUUAUUUGUUGUAGUGGGGACAGUAACAUUGGCACUGUUUCCAAUUAUGCGGAUUUCAGCUUUAAGGUUUCUGUGAUAGGUUGUUAUCCAUAAAAUACCACAACAAGGUGCGCAAGCGUUCGAUUUGCCUGCUGAGGGAUUGCUAAAGAAAUGUUACCGUUAUUGGGUUGUAAUAUGAUGAGCAGUCAGAAAUACUCAUUUCCGAUUUUAGCUAGCUAGUUGAGGUACCUAGGUUGGUGAAAACAAAUCGGAAUAUAUGUUUGUGUGAGCAUUUCAAUAAAAAAUGUUUCUAGCUAGCUUGGCAAAUGCAACGUACUGCUACACAAGAAGAGGCUACAAUGGAUGUGAAAUCAACAUAAUCCACACAUACGUACUUGUCAGUUAAUAAUACAGGUUUAUUUUAUAUCAGUCAAAUAGUCAAAAUAAAUGGUGGCCAAUCUUGAAAAAAAGAGAGGUGUUUUCACACUGUAAUACAUGAAGCAGGCUGUGCUUGACCCCCAUCCGGGAACGGAAUGUUUAGAAAGGAGCUAAAAUAUGACGUCAUUGAUAACAACCUAUAGAAUAUACUUGGGAA
ensembl:lncRNA